rnacentral:rRNA from 1 species
AUUGAACGCUGGCGGCAGGCCUAACACAUGCAAGUCGAGCGGAUGAAGGGAGCUUGCUCCUGGAUUCAGCGGCGGACGGGUGAGUAAUGCCUAGGAAUCUGCCUGGUAGUGGGGUAUAACGUCCGGAAACGGGCGCUAAUACUGCAUACGUCCUGAGGGAGAAAGUGGGGGAUCUUCGGACCUCACGCUAUCAGAUGAGCCUAGGUCGGAUUAGCUAGUUGGUGGGGUAAAGGCCUACCAAGGCGACGAUCCGUAACUGGUCUGAGAGGAUGAUCAGUCACACUGGAGCGGAGACACGGUCCAGACUCCUACGGGAGGCAGCAGUGGGGAAUAUUGGACAAUGGGCGAAAGCCUGAUCCAGCCAUGCCGCGUGUGUGAAGAAGGUCUUCGGAUUGUAAAGCACUUUAAGUUGGGAGGAAGGGCAGUAAGUUAAUACCUUGCUGUUUUGACGGUACCAACAGAAUAAGCACCGGCUAACUUCGUG